rnacentral:misc_RNA from 1 species
GAACGCACAUUGCGCCCUUCGGUAUUCCGUUGGGCAUGCCUGUUCGAGCGUCAUUUAAACCUUCAAGCUCUGCUUGGUGUUGGGCGUUUGUUCCGCCUCCGCGCGUGGACUCGCCUCAAAUCUAUUGGCAGCCGGUCAGUUGGCUUUCGCGCGCAGCACAUUGCGUAGCGGCUCCAGCUUGCCUCCUACCAUUAAGCUACUCUACAUCUUUUGACCUCGGAUCAGGUAGGGAUACCCGCUGAACUUAAG